rnacentral:tRNA from 1 species
GCCGCUAUGGUGAAAUCAGUAGACACGAUGCUCUUAAGAAGCAAUGUUAGAGCAUCUCGGUUCGAGUCCGAGUGGUGGCA